CCCUUAGAUGUUCUGGGCCGCACGCGUGCUACACUGAGUGGAUCAGCGGGUCAGGUUGCGCGAAAGCGUUUCCUAAUCUUUAAAUCCGCUCGUGAUGGGGAUUGACGGUUGCAAUUUUCUGUCAUGAACGAGGAAUACCUUGUAAGCGCGGGUCAUCAUCCCGCGCUGAAUACGUCCCUGCCCUUUGUACACACCGCCCGUCGCUCCUACCGAUUGAGUGGUCCGGUGAGGCUUUGGGAUCUAAGCGAAAAGAGCGUUUCGCUCCUUUUGCUGGGAGAACUCAGUCGAACCUUAUCGUUUAGAGGAAGGAGAAGUCGUAACA
rnacentral:rRNA from 1 species